rnacentral:tRNA from 1 species
CGCGGGGUAGCUCAGUCGGGUAGAGCGUGGGGCUCAUAACCCUGUGGUCGCCGGUUCAAAUCCGGCCCCCGCACCCA